UCUCAAUCUUCUAUCCUUUCUAAUUGGACUUUGUGUUUUUGUUUUUAAUGUUGUAAAGUUUCAUUAAUUUUUAAUAAAAUGUGGAGGAAUUUUGUUGUACGUAAAUUAAUUCACAGGAAUCAAAUACAAAUUACCGAAGACAUUUCAGCUUUCAACGAGCGUUAUAUUUCCAGGCCCAGCGGUUUGUAACGUUGUCUGCCUGCUCUCAGUCGAGAGGGUUACUGCAUGAACAGAAUCUAUACCAGUAUAGGUACUAUUCGUCCGAUGCCUAUCCAAACCAUAACAAAGUACUACUGCCAGCCCUCUCUCCCACUAUGGAGAUGGGUACAAUUGUAUCCUGGGCGAAAAAGGAAGGUGA